CUGGCGAUGAACAGGGGUGUCAGCCCUCCCAGUUCUUUCUGUCUUUCUUUGUUUUCUUCACCCCCCUUCUGCACUUCAGGACCUGCUUGACUUGGCAUGGCUGGUCCGCGUCAAGUGGCGCCCGAACAGGGACCUGAAGGAGAGGGAGAAGGUGAGGGCCACCACGUCAAGAAGAGAAAGCCCUGGCCAGGGUAACUAGAGAAGACCUGCGAGAGAAGAGGCACGCAAGCAACCUGGACGUGGAUGCUGAGGGCCCGAGGUGGUUGCCAGAAAGGCUGGUGUGUCAUGCAGACCAUAUUCCUCCUGAUCCUGCUCCAGCUUUGGAGGACCCCAGCUGAAGAGCAAGUAGCGGAGCAAGCAGUUCAGCGCAUAUAUUGGGCAUAUGUUCCUGACCCUCCUCUGCUCCAUCCAGUCAGUUGGAAGUCUCCCAAGGUACAGAUUUACUCCAAUGAUUCUGACAUUUUGGGAGGCCCAUCAGAACACCUAACAAUAGGAACAACGCACCUUGCCUUCUGACCACCCUGUGUGCAGUGUGCUUACAUCUUCAUCUUCACUUAAAAAUGACACAUUGCCACUACCCUGGACAAAGUGCAAGGGCUCCCCUUCACUUGCAGGCACAGGUGGUGAAUGGCCACCGCAGAUGAACAUCACUAAAGAACUUUACAUUGUGGACUGGUCUUUAGGACCAAAUUCAAAGACACUGGCCCCGCAAUACAGAGGAAUCUCUAUGGGACUUUGGUACACUCCAGAUGGGUACCCUCAAACCUCUUGGUGGAAAAUAGGGGUGGCUAUGGGUGGGUUAGAGUGGGAUAAUAGUACAAGCAUUAAUGUAAACAAUGACACACAUGUGGUGGCUUGCGUUGACCCCCCCAUGCGCUGUUGGUAGGGUCUAUUUCUAUUAAUGUGACUUAUCAGAAAAAUAUGUUUCACAUUGCCUGUAAAAAUUGCAGUCUCACCAGCUGCAUCUCUUCUGUGUCCAACAAUACCAUGGUUCUUUUACUUAAGCAACCCCCUUUCCUUUUGAUUCCCGUGAAUCACACGGGACCUUGGUAUGAUGAUAAGGGCCUGUAAGUGUUGAUAGAAUUGAAGAAAGCUCUAGACCAUCCCAAGAGAGCUGUGGGCCUCAUUAUUGUAGGGUUGUUAUCUUUAAUUUCCUUUAUUGUAUCUUCUACUGUAGCAGCUGUAGCAUUAACUGAGAAUGUACAAACUGCAAUCUAUGUCAAUGGUUUGACCCAAAAUGCAACUGAGGCUCUUAAUGAUCAAGGAAAUACUGAUGAGAAAACAAGUCAUAAGCUUAAUGCCCUGUAUGACAUGGUCGUGUAUUUGGGCGAAGAGGUUCAGGGCCUAACGUUAAGGCACCAAUUGAAAUGUCAUGCAGCUUAUAAUGAAAUUUGUGUCAUCAAACUAGGAUUACAGUCCUUUUUGCAACUGGGUUCCGAGACCCAUAUGCUAGCUCUUAAACACCACCCUCCUUAUAUGGAUGUGGAGAAGGGGACAGGAUAGUCAAUGACGGGUAAGUGUCUUGGAGACCUCUGGCAACCUAAGACAGGGUCCUCAUGAUGGAAUGUGGGUACCAGUGACAGGUAAGUCCAGAUGAGUCGUCCAGGAACACCUAAGACAGGCACUGUCACUCUCUUAUAAAAUAAAAAAGGGGGAGAUGUGGGCGGCAGGCUAUGCCCUUUCACCCACUUGCUGAUGUGGCAGGAAUGGAGAACAAAGAACAUCCUGUUCACCCAUUCCAUGAGCAACUGAAGGAGCCCUGCUGUGCCUACCUUUGCCCGGCUACCGCUGAUGUCAAUACUGUGCUUGAUUGUCUAUUGGAUAAUGUUAUUUCCUGGGAUAGUGUACUUCUUUGCUGUAUAAAUACUCUGGACUCUAAUAAAGCUUUGCUGGCGAUGUGCAGGAGCAUCAGCCCUCCCAGUUCUUACUGUCUUUCUUUGUUUUCUUCGGCCCCCUUCCACACUUCAGGACCUGCUCGACUCGGCGCGGCCAGACCGCGUCACUUUUGCAUCUUGAAAGAACCAAGGAAGGACCUCGUGGUCUCUGGGUCUGAGGUCUGCCAUGGUUUUGCUCAGUUUCAGGACUGUUUUUUGUAUAAAAUGUUGCUUCCCCAUUUGAUGUGGAAUAGAAUAUUGAACUGUGUGUAAAUAUGACCUUUGAGACUGCACCAUCUGGAGCUAAUAUUUGAAGUGAUUUACACAUGAAAUAGAAAAACAGAAUCCACGUGAAAUUAUGUCUUUAAAAUUUUUUAAAUAGGUUAACAGUAUGUAUUUACUGCCUCCAGAUUGUAUGUAUAUUGUGAAUGAAGAUUUAUUCCCUCAUAUUCUUAGCUGUUGUAAUAAGCAUUAAACAAAGCGACUCAGGUUUUGAGGUAUGGUGAUACCACUUUUCCUUUGGGCAUUACUAACCAUUUGUCUGUCCCUACUCUAGUAUAAGCUUUCCCUCUCCCUUCUCAUCCAAUAUAUACAGAUAGUGAGCCUACUAAAUACCACACACUAUGCUAAGAUUUGGGAAACUGAAAGUGAGUAUUCUAGACAUCGUCUAGAGUGGUACAUAGUGCUAUAAUAACAAAUGUCUGAGGAAAGUGUUUGAGAAGUCACCCAAGGCUCUAUACAAUUGGUGAUUAUUAUGUCGAAAUUACUGUCUAAAUUUUAUUAGCCUGAUAUCUUUCUACAAACAGAGUCUAUUGGAGCCUGGUCAAGCCUCAAGCCAGAUAUUGCCACUGUUGUUAUAAAACUGUAACACCACGUGAAUGAUGGCAUGUCAGGAGCCACAGGUCAGCUUGAAAGUGCAGGCUGAAAGCCACUUAUUUUUUUUAGAAGAAGAAUUUCAAAACGGCCAUAAUGAUGUCAUAUAUGGUCAUCAGAAUUAUAUGAUGAUUGAGUGAAUAAUAUCCCUUUAGUGAUUUGGAAAAUUCUGUGAAAUAUUCUAAGGGUUCCAUUUCCCUUUUCAUGUGGAAACUUCCAGGAGAAGCACGAUUCCCAGACCAGGAAGCAUUUAUGCUGCUGAUGAAUCACUACAAUUUUUCCCAAAUUGAUUGCCCUGAAACCUUGGUAGGACAGACGUGGAAGAGCCUGUUUCAGCACCUACACAGCACAGCAGUCCUGUCGGCGCCCCCUCCCGGAACAUCCAGACACAGGCACAAGCACUUAGACACAGCAGGAUCCUUCUGCCCCAAAAUAAAUGUGUCGAGAUAUAUCGAUGACUUAAAGGGAUUUCCCAGCUGGAAUUCCAGAACCCCAGUGUGCUUCAAGGUGGGCUGGUCCAGAGGCCCAAGAAAGCAUAAAGAACUCGAUUUCUUUUCCAAUCGCUUUGCUGCCCUCCCCCAUGUUUGUUUCUUCCUAAGGCUGGUUCCCUGUGUUGGUUUAGGCUCUCUUCCAGGAGCGACUGGAGCUUUAUAUUCUUUACUUCAGUUGCUUAUAUUAAGGUAGGUUUUCUUCCUGAUUAUAAUGAAAAGAUUCCCUCAAAUCACUCUAACUGGACUGGGUUACAUGCUACUAACUAUCCCAAUUAAACCAAACUUAAUUGGUUUAAGACAGGAAGCCCAGCUCCAGAAACGUAGAGGCUACCUGGGGAAGAUGAAAACCCAAAGGAAAAUCUGGGUGCUGUUAGAAAAAAAGGAAGGGGUAGGAUGGAUUUGGGUUAGCCAUUCAGUAGCACCAUUAUACCAGAGAAGCGUCUUCUCUCAGGAUCAAAGAAAGGGAGAGGCUUAAGUCCUGUGUUGUGAAAAUUUCUUUCAGCAUCUCCUUAGGUUACUGAAUCUUCCCACAGGAGGAGCCCAGAUUAACAGUUACAUCUACCUCUCAGCCACCGGAUGUCUCUUCUUGAAUCCUUGUCUGCCAAAGUCUUGUGCUGAUCAAUGCCAGAUUUGCUCACUUUCAAUACUUUAUAGUCAUAGACUUAAAAUUCUUUGCUUAUUAAUUAUUGCAUCAGCAAUGGCAUGACACAGUCAAAAUAUCCAGUUAGUGAGAAUCACUGGCAAUUUUGAAUGUGAAAAUAUCCAGCCAGUUUUUCAGUAGCUGUGAAUUGGGAUUUAUAAAUGAUCCAAAGUCAUUAUUUUGAGGGGAAUUGAAGAAUGCAUUCUUCAACAGGUAGUGACCAAGCAUCUAUCCAUUAUAGUGUUUCAUUCCUGAGUAGAUUAGUGAAUGACUGUACAAUAUAACAAAAUGAAAAUUCCAAGGAAAUUCAAGACACCUGACAAGUAAUGCCUUUACUACAUUUAGUAGUCUUCCUAACGCAACAUAUCAUUUUGGUUAACACUAAUAAGCCUUAUUUUUAGUGAAAAGGAGUUAAAUUCUAUAAAUGAGUUAUCUUUUAAAAAUGGCAUGUGAGCAAGUGAGAAAAUUAUCACAUAUGAUCCCCGAUUGAGAACAAGUCUUUUAAAUAGCCAUCUCUCCUAUGCACCGAGGAGAGUUGGGCACUAUUAAACUGUGUAACUAUGUUGUCCAAGGUUCAAAGAAGUAAAGUAGUUUGCUGAAUAUCUCAUGGAUUAUACAUGACAGUCUAUAGUAACACAGGGACCAGGCCUUAGGAUGAAGUUGACCUUGGGGGAAAGCAGAGAGGAGAGUGAGACAGAAAUAGCUCUACCUGGCUCAAAAUUCCACACUUAUGUUAGUUAAUACACCACACAUGUAAAUUUCUGCUCAUUUACCAGUUAGCUUAACAAAAUAGACCUUUUAAAUAAUGUGUCUGCAAUUGUAUCCUUUAGAGG